UAUAUUUAUAUAUGAAAAAAAAAUUCAGAGGAAUCGAGGUCAGGAGACUUCGUCCCGUCGUCUCAUCAGCCGAGAAAACGUGGACCGGAAACGGGCCCCAGCUUGACCCCGCGAGUCUACUACUGGAGCUCCUGUACUCAUUGAAAGUAUAUACAUAUAUAUGUGCAAUAUGUGAGAUGACAUACAGAAUAGUGUGUCCGGUUAUGAGUGAGAAUAAACAGGAUGCAAGGCAUUACCAUCCACUCGCCUCCACAUUCGUUUGAGACUUUUUAAACCGUGAAAGUCUUUCUAAUUAACAUGUCAAAAGGUUUUUAGCUAAACAUAUUUUGAAUAAUAAAAUAUUAAGACAUUAUAUCAUGCUAUUAAUUAUCAAUAAUCCCGAGAAAAUUGCCCAAUAGUCCAUGAAAGUCAAGUAUUAUAAAUAAUUAAAAGUGAAACUUCUUGUCUUAUUUACACCAAA